rnacentral:rRNA from 1 species
GAUGAACGCUGGCGGCGUGCCUAACACAUGCAAGUCGAACGGAGAAUAUACGCUUCAGAAGCUUCGGCAGAUGAUUGUAUAUUCUUAGUGGCGGACGGGUGAGUAACGCGUGGGCAACCUGCCUCAUACUGGGGGAUAACAGCUGGAAACGACUGUUAAUACCGCAUAAGCGCACAGUGUCGCAUGACACAGUGUGAAAAACUCCGGUGGUAUGAGAUGGGCCCGCGUCAGAUUAGCCAGUUGGCGGGGUAACGGCCCACCAAAGCGACGAUCUGUAGCCGGCCUGAGAGGGCGGACGGCCACAUUGGGACUGAGACACGGCCCAAACUCCUACGGGAGGCAGCAGUGGGGAAUAUUGCACAAUGGAGGAAACUCUGAUGCAGCGACGCCGCGUGAGUGAAGAAGUAUUUCGGUAUGUAAAGCUCUAUCAGCAGGGAAGAAAGGCUCGUAAGAGAGAUGACGGUACCUGACUAAGAAGCCCCGGCUAACUACGUGCCAGCCGCCGCAGUAAUAC